rnacentral:lncRNA from 1 species
GUGGGACAGAGCAGCGGGGUUAAAGAAAGGAGAGGAGGCGUGGGCUGCGCUGUGCUGUCGCUGGAGGCGCUCCCGGCGGCGCCUGCCUUGGUGCUUGCUAGUUGGUCGCCUCCAGUGAAAGGUCAUGGCAGGACCCAAGCGAACCUGGACAACUACCCUUAUCCCAGCCUCGGGACUGGAACAGCUGUGAGAGGAGACGAGACUCCCUGCAGAGGGCGGAGAUGACGUUAGCCUGACCAGACUCACGUACGCCCAAGUUCAAGGACCCGUCGUAACCUAAAAAUAUACUGGGUGAUCGUAGCUUCGAGCUUCCCCAACACUGAAGUUCCCUUUUUAAAAGCCUGAAGACUAAGUCGGAUGUCAGAACUACUGCAAAGCCCAGGGGCUGCUCUCCCUCUACUUUCACCUUUAUAUCUAAACCAAUGAGGCUGUCAGCUACGUAAUGCCCUCUCAUCGCUUCUCUUUAAGAUUGCCCUUCAGCUAGAGGCUAGGCAUUCAGGACAAGUUUCUCUAUGUAGACUUGGCUCUCCUUAUAGACCAGGUUAGCCUCACAGAGAUCCACCUGCUUCUUCCUCUCAGGUGCAGGGAUUAAAGGUCCUGGGGUUACAGUCUAUGAGGCUGGAUGUCUCAGCAGUCUCAAUCUGGCACUGAAGGCCUGGAGAAUUCCCG